rnacentral:rRNA from 1 species
GAUGAACGCUGGCGGCGUGCCUAAUACAUGCAAGUAGAACGCUGAAGGAGGAGCUUGCUCUUCUGGAUGAGUUGCGAACGGGUGAGUAACGCGUAGGUAACCUGCCUGGUAGCGGGGGAUAACUAUUGGAAACGAUAGCUAAUACCGCAUGACAACAGUUAUUGCAUGAUAACUGUUUAAAAGGGGCAACUGCUCCACUACCAGAUGGACCUGCGUUGUAUUAGCUAGUUGGUGAGGUAACGGCUCACCAAGGCGACGAUACAUAGCCGACCUUAGAGGGUGAUCGGCCACACUGGGACUGAGACACGGCCCAGACUCCUACGGGAGGCAGCAGUAGGGAAUCUUCGGCAAUGGACGGAAGUCUGACCGAGCAACGCCGCGUGAGUGAAGAAGGGUUUCGGAUCGUAAAGCUCUGUUGCAAGAGAAGAACGAGUGUGAGAGUGGAAAGUUCACACUGUGACGGUAUCUGACCAGAAAGGGACGGCUAACUACGUG